rnacentral:rRNA from 1 species
UACGUAGGGGCCAAGCGUUGUCCGGAUUUAUUGGGCGUAAAGAGCUCGUAGGCGGUUCGGCAAGUCAGCUGUGAAAUCUCCACGCUCAACGUGGAGGGGUCAGCUGAUACUGCUGUGACUCGAGUCCGGUAGGGGAGUGUGGAAUUCCCGGUGUAGCGGUGAAAUGCGCAGAUAUCGGGAGGAACAUCAGUAGCGAAGGCGGCACUCUGGGCCGGUACUGACGCUGAGGAGCGAAAGCGUGGGGAGCAAACAGG